rnacentral:rRNA from 1 species
CUGGCGGCAGGCUUAACACAUGCAAGUCGAGCGGAAACGAUGGGAGCUUGCUCCCAGGCGUCGAGCGGCGGACGGGUGAGUAACACUUAGGAAUCUACCUAGUAGUGGGGGAUAGCUCGGGGAAACUCGAAUUAAUACCGCAUACGUCCUACGGGAGAAAGGGGGCAACUUGUUGCUCUCGCUAUUAGAUGAGCCUAAGUCGGAUUAGCUAGUUGGUGGGGUAAAGGCCUACCAAGGCGACGAUCUGUAGCUGGUCUGAGAGGAUGAUCAGCCACACCGGGACUGAGACACGGCCCGGACUCCUACGGGAGGCAGCAGUGGGGAAUAUUGGACAAUGGGGGCAACCCUGAUCCAGCCAUGCCGCGUGUGUGAAGAAGGCCUUUUGGUUGUAAAGCACUUUAAGCAGUGAAGAAGACCAUAUGGUUAAUACCCAUAUGCGAUGACAUUAGCUGCAGAAUAAGCACCGGCUAACUCUGUGCCAGCAGCCGCGGUAAUACAGAGGGUGCAAGCGUUAAUCGGAAUUACUGGGCGUAAAGCGAGCGUAGGUGGCUUGAUAAGUCAGAUGUGAAAUCCCCGGGCUUAACCUGGGAACUGCAUCUGAUACUGUUAGGCUAGAAUAGGUGAGAGGAAGGUAGAAUUCCAGGUGUAGCGGUGAAAUGCGUAGAGAUCUGGAGGAAUACCGAUGGCGAAGGCAGCCUUCUGGCAUCAUAUUGACACUGAGGUUCGAAAGCGUGGGUAGCAAACAGGAUUAGAUACCCUGGUAGUCCACGCCGUAAACGAUGUCUACUAGUCGUUGGGUCCCUUGAGGACUUAGUGACGCAGCUAACGCAAUAA